rnacentral:rRNA from 1 species
GACGAACGCUGGCGGCGUGCUUAACACAUGCAAGUCGAACGGAAAGGCCCUGCUUUUGUGGGGUGCUCGAGUGGCGAACGGGUGAGUAACACGUGAGUAACCUGCCCUUGACUUUGGGAUAACUUCAGGAAACUGGGUCUAAUACCGGAUAUGAGCUCCUGCUGCAUGGUGGGGGUUGGAAAGUUUCGGCGGUUGGGGAUGGACUCGCGGCUUAUCAGCUUGUUGGUGGGGUAGUGGCUUACCAAGGCUUUGACGGGUAGCCGGCCUGAGAGGGUGACCGGCCACAUUGGGACUGAGAUACGGACCAGACUCCUACGGGAGGCAGCAGUGGGGAAUAUUGCACAAUGGGCGGAAGCCUGAUGCAGCAACGCCGCGUGCGGGAUGACGGCCUUCGGGUUGUAAACCGCUUCCGCCUGUGACGAAGCGUGAGUGACGGUAAUGGGUAAAGAAGCACCGGCUAACUACGUG